UACGAAGGGGGGCUAGCGUUGCUCGGAAUUACUGGGCGUAAAGGGAGCGUAGGCGGAUAGUUUAGUCAGAGGUGAAAGCCCAGGGCUCAACCUUGGAAUUGCCUUUGAUACUGGCUAUCUUGAGUAUGGAAGAGGUAUGUGGAACUCCGAGUGUAGAGGUGAAAUUCGUAGAUAUUCGGAAGAACACCAGUGGCGAAGGCGACAUACUGGUCCAUUACUGACGCUGAGGCUCGAAAGCGUGGGGAGCAAACAGG
rnacentral:rRNA from 1 species